CGCACGCUUGAUAUCACCGCUGACAUCCACAUGCACAGCUCCCUCCUCUUCCUCUCUCCCUCUCUUUCUCUCUCCAUCUCUCUGCAUCUCUGUUUAUUGGAAAGCUCUUGUGCUGCCACUGUGCGGUCCUGCUUCAUCAUGUGUAUAGUGUUUCGGAGCAGAUGGGGAAGCAAAGGAAGGGGCAGAGAUGAGAAAGGAGGAGGAGUGUGGUAGGCAACUAGAGAAGGAGAUGCUCUCCACGUGAAGAGAAGUGGACUGUGGGAUAUUUCUUUAAAGGCUGAACUGGUGGUCUGCUCCUUCUGGAUGUCCCUUGCUGUUCUUUGACAUAAACACAAAGCCUCACUGUGCGAGAGAUGUUUGCACCCACAGCUGCAGCAGUGCGUCAGACACAGUCCUCAUCAGCAGAAAGCAGACGCUGACUGCCUUCACUGAAAUCUACUGGAGUCUCUUAAUUAAUGCUAAUUUCUGAUGACUUGCUGAUCUCAUCAUAAAGGAUCUACAAAGAUAAACAGAGCCAGCUUUCUCUUCUGUUGGGGAACAUGUGGGCAAAUUCUCUCUGCUCCUCAUAAGUCUGUUCUAACUAAACGAGCUCAGCAUGAGCAAUUAUAAUCGAUUUUAUAUCUGUAUAAAGAUUAAAUAUCAGUGCUUUAAUCUGUGAUCCAUCCAUACCAUCUCAUUGGAUCCAUCUAAAUGUGGGACAGUAGGAAUGAUUUCAGUCCAUCUGUUGCAAUGAGCAUAUUUAAUCCUGCAGAUUUAAUUCCUUGCAACCUAUUCUCUGCAGC